AGAACGAACGCUGGCGGCAUGCCUAACACAUGCAAGUCGAACGAGACCUUCGGGUCUAGUGGCGCACGGGUGCGUAACGCGUGGGAAUCUGCCCCUUGGUUCGGAAUAACAGUUAGAAAUGACUGCUAAUACCGGAUGACGACGUAAGUCCAAAGAUUUAUCGCCGAGGGAUGAGCCCGCGUAGGAUUAGCUAGUUGGUGAGGUAAUGGCUCACCAAGGCGACGAUCCUUAGCUGGUCUGAGAGGAUGAUCAGCCACACUGGGACUGAGACACGGCCCAGACUCCUACGGGAGGCAGCAGUGGGGAAUAUUGGACAAUGGGCGAAAGCCUGAUCCAGCAAUGCCGCGUGAGUGAUGAAGGCCUUAGGGUUGUAAAGCUCUUUUACCAGGGAUGAUAAUGACAGUACCUGGAGAAUAAGCUCCGGCUAACUCCGUGCCAGCAGCCGC
rnacentral:rRNA from 1 species